UACGAACUGUGCAAACGUUAUUCGGAAUCACUGGGCUUAAAGGGUGCGCAGGCGGUCUGCUAAGCAGGGUGUGAAAGCCCCCGGCUCAACCGGGGAAUUGCGCCCUGAACUGGCAGGCUUGAGUGAGAUAGAGGUGUGGGGAACUUCCGGUGGAGCGGUGAAAUGUGUAGAUAUCGGAAGGAACGCCAGAGGCGAAAGCGCCACACUGGGUCUCACCUGACGCUGAGGCACGAAAGCCAGGGGAGCAAACGGG
rnacentral:rRNA from 1 species